UACGUAGGGUCCAAGCGUUAUCCGGAAUCACUGGGCGUAAAGCGUGCGUAGGUGGCGUGUUAAGUGUGAUGUUAAAUCGUGUGGCUCAACCAUAUCGAUGUGUCGCAUACUGGCAUGCUAGAGGGAAGCAGAGGCAAGUGGAAUUUGUAGUGUAGCAGUGAAAUGCGUAGAUAUUACAAGGAACACCAAUGGCGAAGGCAGCUUGCUGGGCUUCUUCUGACACUGAGGUACGAAAAGCGUGGGGAGCGACAGG
rnacentral:rRNA from 1 species